rnacentral:misc_RNA from 1 species
GGGGGGGUCGGAGAAUUUCGAAGUAACUGUUGUCAUGGAAACGUAUGAACUCAAGCCGCCACAACAGCCAGUAGUACUGUAUGUUAUUUAGGUGUUAUUGAUCACGUUGUUAGCAAUGUUCGGGAUUCAGAUCAGAGAUGGAGAAUACACGAAAACUGUCUACGUAAUGAUCAGGGACCAGCGAUAUGGAGAGGCUAUUCAGGUGCUUAACAAUGUUUUACGAACAAAUUCCAAUUCAAGAGCUGGACUUUCAUUGCUUGCAUACUGUUACUUCUAUACUCAAGAUUUUGUAAAUGCUGCAGAUUGCUAUGAGCAGCUGACAGCUCUUGUCCCUGAAGAAACAGAGUACAAAUUGUACUAUGCUCAGUCUCUGUAUCAGGCCUGUCUGUAUGAGGAGGCUAUGAAAGUUACAACUCAGAUAGAUGAUCCAGCAUAUACCACCAAGGUAAAUAAAUUAAAAGCUGCCAUAAAAUAUGGAGAAGAAGAUCUGGCUGGAGCAAAGGGUCUCGUGGACAGUGGUCCAGCUGAUGACCCUGAUACGGAAAUUAACCUUGGAUGUCUGCUAUAUAAGGAAGGAAGAUAUGAAGAUGCCUUGCAAAAAUUCACAUCAGCAGUACAGAUUUUGGGAUAUAAUCCACACCUUUCGUACAACAUAGCUCUUUGCUAUUACAGGCUGAAAGAAUAUGCUCCAGCUUUAAAGCACAUUUCUAAUGUUAUAGAAAGGGGUAUCACAGAACACCCUGAGUUGAGCAUUGGAAUGGCUACAGAAGGGAUUGAAGUACGAAGUGUGGGUAACACACUUACUCUCCAUGAAACAGCUCUCAUAGAGUCAUUUAAUCUUCGGGCGGCUAUCGAAUACCAGCACAAGAAAUAUGAAGCCGCUAGGGAAGCUUUAACUGAUAUGCCUCCAAGGUCUGAGGAAGAACUAGAUGCUGUUACACUCCAUAACCAAGCACUGAUGAAUAUGGACACAAAGCCCACAGAAGGAUUUGAAAAGCUUCAGUUCUUAUUGCAACAAAACCCAUUUCCUCCUGAAACAUUUGGAAAUCUCUUGCUGCUUUAUUGUAAAUAUGAGUAUUUCGACCUGGCAGCUGAUGUUCUUGCAGAUAAUGCAAGCCUUACAUACAAAUAUCUCACUCCAUACCUCUAUAGUUUCCUAGAUGCACUGAUAACACAACAAACCUCCCCUGAAGAGGCAUACAAAAAAUUUGAUGAUAUUGCAUCAAAACACACAGAACAGCUCAGGAAAUUAACAAAGCAAGUGCAGGAGGCCAGACAAAAUCUUGAUGACGAAUUUGUGAAAAGAGCUGUUGCAGAAUAUGAGGAUGCUUUGGACAGGUACAUACCAGUACUUAUGGCACAAGCUAAAAUUUACUGGGACAUGGAAAACUAUGCACAAGUUGAGAAAAUAUUUCGUAAGUCAGUGGAGUUUUGCAGUGAAAAUGAUACAUGGAAACUUAAUGUGGCUCAUGUAUUGUUCAUGCAGGAAAAUAAGUUCAAAGAAGCUACAGGAUUUUAUGAACCAAUUGUCAAGAAAUAUUUUGAUAAUAUUCUUAGUAUCAGCGCUGUAGUACUUGCAAAUUUAUGUGUGUCUUAUAUAAUGACAUCUCAAAAUGAAGAAGCUGAAGAAUUAAUGAGAAAAAUCGAAAAGGAGGAAGAGCAACUAUCAUUUGAAGACCCUGAUAAGAAAAUAUUUCACCUCUGCAUUGUCAACCUUGUCAUUGGUACACUGUAUUGUGCAAAAGGCAAUUAUGAAUUUGGAAUAUCACGUGUAAUUAAAAGUCUUGAACCUUAUAACAAGAAACUUGGCACUGACACUUGGUUUUAUGCUAAAAGAUGUUUCCUUUCCUUGAUUGAAAACUUGGCAAAGCACAUGAUUGUUGCCAAAGACUCUGUAUUCCAGGAGUGCAUACAAUUUUUGGAACACUGUGAAGUUUAUGGCAGAGAUGUUAAAACAGUGAUACUGCAGCCACUUGAAGAGCCUCACUUACAUCAGGGGAAAAAUACAGUGACAUAUGAAGCUCGACUCCUAAAGGCAUUGCUCCUAAGACUACAAAUGUAUUAGCCAAAUUGCGUGUUGGAGGAAUAUGCCAGGAAAGAAGAGUAAUAUAGCAACAGAAAAGAUCAUAACAUGUUCAGUGGAAUUACAAAAAGUCACUCUUUUGUUCUCACAGUAGUUUUUCAGGGAUACUUUGUUAAUGUAUAUCACUUGCUUAUGUAUUAUGUUUGAAAUUGACAAACGUGAGAAGGAAGAUAAGAACUACUGUUCAGGCAUGAGAGAAAUAGGAAACCCACAGAAAGCAGAAAAAUUAUGUUUCUCAUAUUACCACUUUUUCACACUAAAAAUGUGUGACACAAAAUUUGUUGGAGAUCUUAUCCUUUUUUCAGCAGUCUUGUAAUAGGUACUCCAUAAUUUGCCUCAAAAGCAACUCUCUUCACACCAGAAAUGGAAUUUUGGUAGUUAUUUUUUCAAACUGGAGAGCACACAGUGGGUCGUGUGCAUGUACUAUUAUUACUGGUGCUGUGGCUUUUAGUCUUAUUUUGGAGCAUAUGCAUGAUGGAAGCAC